rnacentral:rRNA from 1 species
AUGCUGCGUGCUGAUCGACCCCCCAGGAGAAAUGGAUUACGCGGCGACAGCGCCGCUCCAGAGUUCAGUGGAAGGUCAGAAGAUGACCAUCAUCAACACCUGCCAGUUGUUGCACCUGAGGUUCAGUCUGAUCUGGCUCUGGUAAACUACAGGCAGACAUUUCCAUUAGAUGAGAGGAAGAGCAGGAGCUGCCAGUCAUGCCACAGGUCACCAUGCUCUUGCGGUGGCGACGCGCCUCGCCCCGACUUGUGCCCGACGCUCCCUGCCAAGAUGAUGAUCUUGGAGUUCCUGAUAAGAAGCCUGAGGCACCCAACAAGAACCCACAACGUGAGUGAUCUCGACGACUUGAUCAGCGGCGGAGCCAGCACCGGGAAUGUCACCCUCGGUCCUUCGGACAAGAUGAUGCUGGACUCCUUACAUGCGCUGGUGAACGCCAAGACAAGGCCGACGAAGAGCCCCUCGUUCUUCCUCCCGGGGGGCAAGAUGAGGAAAACCCGGUCAAGAUCCCACACCAUAACACAGUCAGAGAUACUGAACCUGAUAUCCCCGGAGACAUGGGAGAUGUCCUCCCACGGGGCAUCAUCGCCGUCGAAGAGAAGUGCGGCGGAGCUCGCCGCGCAUGAAGGGACGGCGCCUUCUUGCUCCGGCACGGCAUGUCUGAGGUCAAAUCAGCCUGGUCUGUCCUCAUACCCACCACCAUCAUCAUCUCUUAGUGCAGGCCUUCUGCAGUGCAUUUGGAAAGAUGGGCUCCCUCACUUUGAACUGUCAGUGGACAAUCCUAUGGCAGUGUACACUGCAAGCCCUGUCAAGAAGCCGCAUGGCGACGGCAAAGCCGCGGCCGCCGCCGACCACGUCUACCUGUUCCAUUCGGACGAGCAAGGGAAGAAGGACUGGAUGGGGAACUACUCGAGCAGCGUGUCGAAACUCGUCGGCAAGAUGAAGGUGACAAGCUCUCUGGUCCUGGGCUCAGACGGGUCAAGGUGUGUGGAGACCGAGUUUGUCAUGUAUGGCUCCCCUGAUGACUACCUGAGGCAGAUGCAGAGCGCCUACAGUGUUGCAAAGGGCAAGGGGCUGGUGAAGAGGGUGGCAGAGAUCAUGAGGUCGCCCAAUGCUUCCUCCAGCCCAAAACAUGCUGCAUGGGGAAGGUUUGGCAGACCUUCUUCCCCGCUGCGGUUCGACGACGAUGUGCGCGAAAUGCUCAAUGCCGAACUGGGCGGCGCUGGAAAGGCGACAGGGUUGGUGAGCCUCGCCGCUGACGAUCUGCCGACCAACCAGGAGGUGGCGGCGAUCGUGGUGAGGGAACGGCGGGAAGAGCCGGCCGUCGUCGGCGGCUGGGGCCUCAAGUUCCUUGAGAAGGCCGGAGGAGCCGCUCAUCCAGAGGAGAGUAAGAAGGCAAGGUGGUGCAUAAGCGCCAUUGUUCCAAGAGGCUACCACGGCGGCGUGGCAUCCGAGAAUGGCGGCCCAUCGGGGCUCGUCGAGCGAUGGCGGAACAGCGGCCGCUGCGAGUGCGGCGGGUGGGACCUCGGCUGCCCCAUCAGAGUGCUGAGCAACGACGGCGGCGGGUCGUCGCCGCCGCCUGAGGACGGUGCCAAAUCGGUGGAGCUGUCACCAGCGGGGGCGAGGAGCGGCGGCGAGCCGGCGGUGAGGCUGGUGAGCCUCGCGGAGGGCCUGUACAUCCUCUACUUUGACGCCGGCGUGGUCUCGCCGCUGCAGUGCUUCGCCGCCGGCGUAGCGGUGGUCCACAGCCAGGCGCCCCAGCUCCACCCAAAACUGUGA